rnacentral:misc_RNA from 1 species
GAUGAAGAACGUAGCGAAAUGUGAUAAGUAAUGUGAAUUGCAGAAUUCAGUGAAUCAUCGAAUCUUUGAACGCACAUUGCGCCCCUUGGUAUUCCGAGGGGCAUGCCUGUUCGAGCGUCAUUAUAACCCUCAAGCUCAGCUUGGUGUUGGGGCCUGCUGCACUGGCAGCCCUUAAAAUCAGUGGCGGCGCCAUCUGGCUCUAAGCGUAGUAAUUCUUCUCGCUAUGGAGUCCUGGUGGAUGCUUGCCAUCAACCCCCAAUUUUUCUAUGGUUGACCUCGGAUCAGGUAGGGAUACCCGCUGAACUUAAGCAUAUCAAUAAGCGGAGGA